GUCCACACCGUAAACGAUGAGCACUAGGUGUCGGGGCGCAAGUCCUCGGUGCCGGAGUUAACGCAUUAAGUGCUCCGCCUGGGGAGUACGUACGCAAGUAUGAAACUCAAAGGAAUUGACGGGGACCCGCACAAGCAGCGGAGCAUGUGGUUUAAUUCGAAGCAACGCGAAGAACCUUACCAGGGCUUGACAUCCCUCUGACAGACUCUUAAUCGGGUCCUUCUUCGGACAGAGGAGACAGGUGGUGCAUGGUUGUCGU
rnacentral:rRNA from 1 species